CCAGUUGGUGAUAAGUUCUCUUAUUUUGGGGACUCAAGUUUAUUGCAGUUCAUGUGUUGUAUUUUGAUUGUCCAUAUGUAUUGAUUAGUGGCAGCUGGAGGCAUGUCCUAGCUAUCUAUAGUUAGUAUAGUAGAGGCUUCAUAGAUGGUCAGUCAGAGUCAUGAUAUGUAAUUCAAGUUCUUUCUUCAGUUUUAUCAUGUCGUAAAUUUAUCGGUAUUAUAUUUAUUCAGA
rnacentral:lncRNA from 1 species